GUCAACUGUCCAUUUCGUAUUACGGACUUGCAACAAAAAAGCAGAUUGCGGACCAUGACUAGUGCUGCCUCUGCAGAGCGAUUUGUGAAACUUUAGUGCAUUCUUUUCCAUACAACUAACAACAACUGGCCUAAAGUCGGUAUUACGGAUGCUUUUGUUUGCCACACAACAGCAGAUAUUUAGCAAUUUCGUUUGUCAAAUUUGCGACACCUUUUGUAUCUGGUGCUGAAUUGUUGCUAACUAUCUGCAAGUGUAAAAUUUGUGAAAUUAAAUUAUUUUAACUUGAUUUAGGUAUUAGGUAUGUAUGGACAGAGCUCAAAUAAUGGGGCUUUGGAGUCUAAGGAAAUUAGGUCGGAUACAUACGAAUCAGUGCGUUUGCGACGCUGUCUUCGUGAUCAAGCCUGACCCCUUAUUCUAUCGGAAAGUUUGUUCAGAACACAUUACAGAAUUUCGAAACAUCAAUAUUUACAAUUGUGCUCUGAAUUAAAGCCGUUAAUAACCUAGAUCAUCAAGACGAACAAGAAUAGAAAGUAAAAUGCAAGGUUUUACAAUAAAUUUGGUUUUCCUGGGGUUUCGGGGUGUAUAGAUGGCACUCAUUUGCACUUAUCAGAUCUUCUGUAUAUGAAGAAAGGUUUUAGAACCGCAAGCAUUAUCAUUUCAAGAAUGUGCAAAUAAUAUGUGAUAGUGAUCUUAACAUUUUUAGUAUUAAUGCAACAUUUCAUGAUACAUUUGUCUGGCUUAUCACAACUGAAUAUGCCUAUGCAGGACCUGCACCAUAAUAGUGAAAAAGUUUGGUUUUUAGGCAAGUAAAACAUCAUGAGCUCUGUCUCAGUAACCUGACUACAAAAUAAUACUCUAUCUAAAAGUAUAUUUAAAACUGGGAAGGCAGUUAAUAUAUAGUACUAUAGUAAUGUUUAUUGUCAUACCAGGAACACAGUUGACCAUUGUGAGUAUUGAAAGCCAGUUGGAGAUGCUUGUUGGUACAUAGAGUACUGCAUUAUGAUCAUCAUAUUAUGAUGGCCAAGACCAUAAUUGUUAGCUUGUAUUGCAUAACAUGGCAAACACACAUGGGUUUCCAGUGCCCCAACUCUCUGACGAAGAUGCUGAAAUUGAUGUUUCUUAUCAAACUCAUAACAUUGUAUUUUUUGGGAGAGAAGAGGAAACACAGCACUUAGCACCAUGUCAACAUUCAAGGGUGGUUCAAUUGGAUUGUGGAGAACAGACAUUAAAUUUAGUCUCAACCUCUGUAUUCUAGUAAUUUUAUGUAGAUAUUUUGAAAACUGCUGUUCUUAAUUAUGUGAACUGAGAGGGCAAGAAUAGCCUAAUUAUUUGUGUCUAUAAUUUUUUAAUUGUGCUUAGUGGAAAUAUACAUAUUUCCUUAACAUUUUUGUGUUUUUACCUUUACUAUAUAAAGGAUGGAUUCAUAACUAUUUGAAAGCAAAAUUGUGAGGUUGUUUUAUUAAGACAAUGUUUUAAUCUGUCGUGCUCAAUUUGUUCUGUAUCAUUUUAUCUUUAUGUUAACCCCGUUUGUAUGUUGUGUUGUUAUAUAUAUUAUUGUAUAUACUGCUGUUUUGAAUAAUGGAAUAGAAUGAAUAACAAAUCGACUAGUAAUUCAUAAUUCUUCUAAAUUUUGUUGGAUACUUACAUGAAUAUUACUUACAAAAUGAAAAACAUAAUUCAUAAUUUAGACAAAAUGUUGAUCAACCACCACUGAUUUUUGUUCAUUGUGAUAAUAAUAAUAAUAUAAAUAUAAAUACCAGAUAACGGAAAUAAAUGUAGGAUUUUUAUUAUACACAUACAUAUAUUUAAUAUACAUCCCCUGGAAUUCCAAACCCUGGAAAAGACAUUUAUAUUUAUCAUACAAAUAUCUUCCCUUGGCGGGAUUCGAACCCGCGACCCCCUUGUGUAGCGACCAUGUCACUUACCACUACACCAGACGGUCGUUAGAUAAGUUUGAUAAUAAUUUUUUUUGUGUAAUUUUGUUUUAUUUGAAUAAUAAUUCUUAAAUUAGGAAA